UACGGAGGGGGCGAGCGUUAUUCGGAAUUAUUGGGCGUAAAGGGCGCGUAGGCGGCUGGGCAAGUCGAAGGUGAAAUCCCUCGGCUCAACUGAGGAACUGCCUUUGAAACUGCCUGGCUUGAGGCCGGGAGGGGGUAGCGGAAUUCCCAGUGUAGCGGUGAAAUGCGUAGAUAUUGGGAGGAACACCAGUGGCGAAGGCGGCUACCUGGACCGGUUCUGACGCUGAUGCGCGAAAGCGUGGGUAGCAAACAGG
rnacentral:rRNA from 1 species